UACGAAGGGGGCUAGCGUUGCUCGGAAUUACUGGGCGUAAAGCGCACGUAGGCGGCUUUCUAAGUCGGGGGUGAAAUCCUGGAGCUCAACUCCAGAACUGCCUUCGAUACUGGAGAGCUUGAGUCCGGGAGAGGUGAGUGGAACUGCGAGUGUAGAGGUGAAAUUCGUAGAUAUUCGGCAAGAACACCGUGGCGAAGGCGCAUC
rnacentral:rRNA from 1 species